ensembl:lncRNA
AUGUUUCACACAUCCUUUCAGCUCUUCUCUGGGUACUAACAUUCACAACAGCCUUUUUUCCUCAAACAGAAUAAGAGGCUUACAGUUAUGUAUCCUGAGUUCUUUGCCAUGAAGGGUACAAUACUCACUGUGAUGUAGUCUGGUAAAUAUGACUCUUGCCAUUAUUGUUGAUGAUCCUUGACUUUUUCUUGAACUGACACUACAAGGUCUUGGCAUUUGUCUGGAGGAGAACUAAACCCAGAUAUUUUUAGCUUUUGUUUGUUGUAACAGUUCCUAGUGGACAAAUGACCAUUCCUGUUCCCUGACCAGUUAUGGUGAAAGUCUUGGGAAUACAUCUAGUAAAUGUUAGACUUCUCUAGGAAGUCAGUGAAGCUGCUGAUCUGCAGAGCUGGAGAAACAUUGACUGGAAAGGUGAAUAUAACAACAAAGAAAUAUUAAUAUAUUUUCUUUCUUUCAGUGCAGUUUUCUGUCAGAUUGGCUAUCAUAGUCAAAAAAGGGAGAAUACUGAUUCACAUUGUUCUUGAAAGAACAGAAAUCAUACGUAUAUUUUCAACUUCACAUUGUUUGUUCUUGGUAGUACCCUUUGUUCUCUUGUCUAUUGUUAAUGGCAAAUCAAGGAAAGCAAAAUUUCCUUGAUAUUAGAAAAACUUGGAUUACUGGAAAAACUUUGAUUAGAGCAAAAAUGUUCUAAAAGGGAAUGAUUAAUGGGGAUAAAUGGGAAUGGAUAAAGGGAAUGAUGGUAUUAAAUGAAGGAAAAAAGUAAGACUCACUGAGAAGCAACAGACAUAAUAUUUUAUUCAGAAUAAGCAGUACUCAUGAUACAAGAAAACAGUGGAAGUUACUUCAAAGAUAAGCUUGGAAGUACUCCAUAUACACUAUCCAUACCAAAAUCUCUUACCUAUAUUGUCAACACUGCUACUGGAAAGCCACGUCACACCAUGUUAAUGUAUUAACAAGGUUAAAGAUCAUUUAGGAGUGAAAUAAUCUCAUGCAAUUUUGUUAAUUAACAAGUGAUAUUGGUUGCUUCUUGAAAGGGAAGUAAGCUUUUGUUGGAGAAUAUAAACCAGUAGAUUCAACUCUUACUAUCUCUUCUGUAUCAUCUCAUCCAGUGUCUUUCGAGGGAGGUCAAUAUUUUUCUGAGUUGUGCCUCCCCUAGUCAGCAGAGGUCACACUUGGAUGGACUCAUCCAAGACUCAGAGGAAUAAUAAAAACUAAUUUAUUGAGAGCUUUCUAACAACAACUAAUACUCUACAUGAGGUAAAUUUGGCUUGUUUGCUAACAGUAAUGAAUAAGUGUUACAGGUAAGAGUACUUUUGUGCAAGAGUUAUUUCUAUGCUAAAAGUUUUAAGGCAGUAUUAAGCAACAUCUACUACAAAGAGUAGAAGAGUAAAAGAAGAUAAAGGAUAAAAAAAUGGGGAGAGACAGACAGACCUAAAGACCUACAGAUAUACAAACACAACAAAGCAAAGUGGCUCAUCUCUUCUUGAUCCAGUGAUGUCUUGGUGUCAGGUGGUGCUAAUCUUUGGUAGUAGUGGGUCAUUCAAGGUAUGAUGGUCAGUUGACAGUGAGAAAAUACAUGAUCUCUAAUUUAUAGUCCACAGUGGUCUCUUUGGAUCGACAGCUUCUGGCUUCAGGGAUAUCAGCAGAAACUCUUUUGUUCCUGUCUUCCAGGCCUUGCAAAAUUAAAUCAGCAGAGACAAGAGGAAGCAUAGAAAAGCCAUCUUGUAUCUUGUCUUCACAGGAUAUAAUGGUAUAAUCUCCUAACUUCUUGUAUCAAGCUGAAAAUGUUUGUUCCCAGGUCAAGACUUAUUCAGAAAAUAUUCCUGGGCCUUCCCAUUUGAAAGCAAACAGCAUCUGGCUCUGCCCAAAGGAAAACAUUUGAAUGUAAAACUGUCCACACAGUACUGCUGAUGUUUCAUGUUGAUUUGAGACAAUACAUUCCUUACCAGCCUAAGACAUAUUCUGUUAGAAUAAAUGCGUAAGCUUGAAGUUAAUCCAUUAAUAGCGAGGUAACUGAAUAUAUUAGGCCUCUCUGUAAGAAUAAAGUGGACAAGAACUGUUGUCAUAGGGAGGUGGAAUGAGUUAAAACUUUGUUGUUGUUGUUGUUUUUAAUUAGAGAGAUUAACAGAAUUCUUAUAAAUUUGAAUUUGAACUGGAGUUAGCUGAAGAUUUUCCUCUGUAGAAAAUGAGAAAAAAUGUUUUGGCUCCAAAUAAAUAACAUGGCAUAAAAUAUACC